UCGUCUCGAAUGUAAUUAACGCUUGUUAGAGUGACUCAACGGUCGAGAAGUACGGGCACGAACGAGCCAAUUUGAUCGUGCGUGGAACAGUGUUCGAAGCAUUAGUGCGAUCGUUGUGCGUUACGUGUAGGUAUAUUUGUUGGCGAUAUAACACGCGGUAUUUUUGACACGUUGUCACCUCUAACACGUGUACAUCAACGAGAAUGUGGAAAUAGAUACAUGAUACAGAAGCACAUCGAGAGUAUUAUUACGAUCCAGCGUAGUCGGCGAAAGCGAUAUUGUGAGUGCGAUGAUGACUACUCGGUAGAAGGUGUUGGUGGAUUAAUACUGUGAAACUCGGAAACACGGUGUGUAGAGGUGAAGCGACGUUUGUGAUCUGGAAUUCGAGAGUUCACGCGUGAUGCGGGUGCGUAUCGACACGCGUACGGUCCUGGGGGCGGCUAAAUCAAACGGUGUCACCGUUUAAUGCUUUAAUUUACGAGCCUGCAAUAUCGCUUCCACUAAACUGUACGAAGUUAUACAAGGUUGUAACGAAAAAUAUACACGUGAUAUGAAGGAAAUAUUUUGAUACAUUUUGAAAUGUGUUUCAUCUACGAAGCCAGAUAUCGAUGUACGUUACGAUGUUGUUUGAUCUUAGCAAAUGUUACACGACAACAUUAGAGAUCAAUGGAUGAAAAUUUUAUGACGUAAUUUGAAUCAGAAACACGAAAUAAGAAAUCGGAGACAUAGGGUCAAAAAGUAUGGUAAUUUG